AAGGAGAAAAAAAAAAAACCAAAAAAACCUCAAGUCUAAAUGACUACAAAGCUGAAGAGCAUUAAAAAAAAUCUGGGUUGGGAUAGGUGUGUCUACAGUUGGCUGAUAAACAAAUCUUUCAGAGUCUGAAAUUACUACAGUAAGAAACAACUAUUCCUCUUUGUUUCUCGCUUUACAAUAUGUAACGAAUAGUACAGUUUUCUUUCAGUGCCUCUUAUAAUUCAAAUGAGUCGACUCCCUUUUAACAGUAUCAAAGUUAAGAAAAUGAAAUAUUAUUGUGACGUGUAUCUGGCCACCAGUGAACAAGAAGGCAAGGUGUGAUCUCAUGAUAGAUCCAACUUCUACUCAUCUCAAUUAACUAGUCAUCUUGGAGGCUGAAUAAGCAACUACAUAAAUACCAAGACAGAAGGCCUGUUACUGUACAAACUGGGUGUGGUGUCUAGAAACCCUGCAGACUCCUCCAGGCAUAGGAUUCACAGGGAAAUUCUAUGAAAAAAAACACAAAGACAAUAAGCUGAUGAAAUACUGAUGACACACUGGAAUACUUCAAAAUUUAUAGCCAGUUAUGCUCAUCAGUCACAGCCAUUCCUGAUGUUCCCAGAACCAACCAUCAAAUUCCCAACACUUUGACCACUUCCAGAAGAUUGUCUUAAUAGGGUCUCCUGAGGCUGUUGCUUGUAUUAAAACUUCCAAUUGUGAGAGCAACGGCAAGAGUGAGAUGCAUGGCAGAAUGGAGACAGAGGCUUCACAAGUGCAGAGUAGGCAGACCGCACAGGAGUCUGGAUCAAGGCUUCUCACAGCUUAAUGUCCAUGAGAAUCACCUGGGAAUCUCAUUAAACUUCAGAUGCUGAUCAAUUAGGUCUGGAGCCGGGCCAGAGCUUUUGCGUUUCCAACAAGCUCCCAGGUGAUGCUGAUACUGCUGGUCUACAAAUCAUACUACUUUUUGUAACACCAUUCGAAGAGUUAACUUAAUAAAUGGCAGCUAGAAUCCACCUUCCGGAGUGCUGGAGUAGCAAUGAGCCCUAACCAUGUGAGGCCACAUGCAAUCCAGGAAAAGGAACUGAAUUGGCCGGCACCUUGACCUUCAACUUUUGAGCCUCCAGAACUGUGAGAAAAUUAAUUUCUCAUAUUUAAGCACCUGAUCUAUGGUGUUUUGUUAUAGCAGCCCAAGCAGACUAAUACACAGUCAUUCACUCAGUUGUUACCAAAUACCUGAUAACUAAUUUAUUGAAUACCUACUAUAUGCCAGGAACAUUACAUACUUUACCGCUAACCCUCUCAGUAACCCCACAAACUAGAGAUCAUUACAUUCACUUUGGUGAUAAGAAGCCUGAGGCCCAAAGAAUAAUUACCCAAGGUCCCGUAGCUGGUAAGUGAAAAGUCAAGAUUUACUUACUGUAAAGUUCAUUACCUAUCAUACUUCAUGGCCCAGACAUCUCUGCAUCAAGGAGUUUAUGGUAUUUUAGAAAGACAAUCCAGACACAAAAAAGCUGAGUAAUUCAAAAGGUUAAUAAUAGCACAUGACAAAAACACAGAAAUAAUAAGAAGUACUAGGAGUUCCUAGGAGGGAGAGUUCAAGACAUCAUGAAACGCUUCAAUUUCUCCCCCAUAAAAAUAUAGAGAAUUACAUUAAACCAAAUCCUUGUUGAAACCCAUCAAGUACCCAAACCAAGUAAAUAAAGUGGCAAGAGACAUUACAACCUUGGAACAAAGGUAAAAUCUUAAUAGAACUUGCUUUGACAUUUAAAUUAGUACCUUUAAAAGUCACCAAAAAAGCAUUUUCCUGCUACAAGGUAUGCCACAGGUGAUUUGCUUCAUCACAUCUUAAUCUUCAGGAGAAAAAAAUUACACAGAAGCUUAGCUUUUCUAAAUGGUCUACUAUAGUAAACCAGUCAUUGACUAAAAAGGGACAGGGAAAAUAGUUAAAACUAUUUUCUGGAAGUGUGUGAAAUUAGAUUAUCUGCUUAUAUUUAAAGAUAAUUUGAAAAAGUCUGAGAAAUUCUUUCACAAAAGAAGAGCUAUAAAUGGUCAAAUAAAUUUUUAACAAUGCAUAGAUUAGACAGGAAUGUGGAAAACAUAGAACCCAACAUCAUUUUGGAACAAUAUGUCUUCAAUUUUCUUAAAGUGAUAGUUACCUACUUAACUACUAAGCAGCCUUUCUAAAUCGGUAAUUCCGAAGUUAACAUUUUUAAUGUAGAAUACUUUUACAAAAAUGCAAAAUCUUCCAUAGAAAUCUAUGAUAACCUGUACGUGAAAUCUAGGGGGA